rnacentral:rRNA from 1 species
UACGUAGGGUGCGAGCGUUGUCCGGAAUUAUUGGGCGUAAAGAGCUCGUAGGCGGCUUGUCGCGUCGGAUGUGAAAGCCCGGGGCUUAACUCCGGGUCUGCAUUCGAUACGGGCAGGCUAGAGUUCGGUAGGGGAGAUCGGAAUUCCUGGUGUAGCGGUGAAAUGCGCAGAUAUCAGGAGGAACACCGGUGGCGAAGGCGGAUCUCUGGGCCUUACCUGACGCUCAGGUGCGAAAGCUAGGGGAGCAAACAGG